AUGGAGAGUGUUGUGAUCAACUGGAACCUUAACCUCCUGUGUCUUGUCUUGUCUUAGGAACAGUGCUGCUCACCAAGCUGCUCAGAUUAUGGAGUCCCAAGCUAUCUAACAAAGUCAGUUUACUAUAAUUAUACUGGUCUAGAUGCUGGAAUACAGUUUUAACACACGUAUCUAGUUGGUGUAUUGGUACGCCUCUGAGACUCCUGACUCGGUUAGCCUGAAGAGAGAAGUAUCAGAUAUAAAGCAACAGUUGCAGCACGUUAAUAUGAUGGACAAUUUUGCAGAUCAUGCCAGACUUCAGAGGAGAAUCAAUCAGAAGGACGGAGAGCUUCAGGUGAAAGAGAAGGGUCAAGUCACGGUUGACAAAGCUGAGUGCCGUGUUGAGUGGAGGGAGUUCAGUGUUAAUAUUGAUAAUGCGUAUUGGUGUCGUCAUGUUGAAUCGUCGGAAACCAGUUGCCAUUUUCCCCACUGAACUGUUCCAUCCAGUGUCUCCACUCCUGGCCUUCCCCACUGGACAACCAGGUGGUAUCGGCUGUCCUCUGUGGGCUGUAGCCUGCUCUCAGUUUAGAUACUGUCAUGCAAUGUCUGAACGUUGUCUAGUUUUAUUAUUGUAUAUACUUUCAUAAUUAUAUUAUAAUUGUUUUUUGGUUUCAGUUGUUAUUCUGGCGUACAUGUUAUAAUUAUUUUUAUAAUACAAUCUAUUCAUGUACAAUUAUGUAACAGAAAAGUUGUUAUUACUGAA